rnacentral:rRNA from 1 species
CCUACGGGAUGCAGCAGUAGGGAAUUUUGCGCAAUGGGCGAAAGCCUGAAGCAGCAACGCCGCGUGGAGGAUGAAGGUUUUCGGAUUGUAAACUCCUUUUGUUAGAGAAGAUAAUGACGGUAUCUAACGAAUAAGCACCGGCUAACUCCGUGCCAGCAGCCGCGGUAAUACGGAGGGUGCAAGCGUUACUCGGAAUCACUGGGCGUAAAGAGCGCGUAGGCGGGAUAGCAAGUCAGAUGUGAAAUCCUAUGGCUUAACCAUAGAACUGCAUUUGAAACUGUUAUUCUAGAGUAUGGGAGGGGUAGGUGGAAUUCUUGGUGUAGGGGUAAAAUCCGUAGAGAUCAAGAGGAAUACUCAUUGCGAAGGCGACCUGCUAGAACAUAACUGACGCUGAUGCGCGAAAGCGUGGGGAGCAAACAGGAUUAGAUACCCCUGUAGUC